ensembl:snoRNA
GUUGAGGUCUCUCCUGAUUGGCUUGUUCUGCAGACCCACAUCAUUGGAGAUGCCUCAUCGAAUAUGUUGUUUGCUCUACUCACAGAACUAUUUGUUAGGUCUGUGGAAAGAAGUAUAAGAGAGAG